rnacentral:rRNA from 1 species
UACGUAGGGAGCAAGCGUUGUCCGGAAUCAUUGGGCGUAAAGCGCGCGUAGGCGGCCUCAUAAGUCCGUUGUGAAAGUCAAAGGCUCAACCUUUGAAAGCCGAUGGAUACUGUGAGGCUAGAGUCCGGAAGAGGCGGGUGGAAUUCCUGGUGUAGCGGUGGAAUGCGCAGAUAUCAGGAGGAACACCAAUAGCGAAGGCAGCUCGCUGGGACGGUACUGACGCUAAGGCGCGAAAGCGUGGGGAGCGAACAGG